rnacentral:rRNA from 1 species
AACGAACGCUGGCGGCGUGGAUAAGACAUGCAAGUCGAACGGGACAAGUAGCAAUAUUUGUCUAGUGGCGAACGGGUGCGUAACACGUGGGCAACAUGCCUGGAAGAGCGGGAUAGCCCGGGGAAACUCGGAUUAAUACCGCAUGUGACAACGGGGCGGAUUCGCCCUGUUUUCAAAGGUGGGGACCGCCAGGCCUGCCGCCUCCAGAUUGGCCCGCGUCCUAUCAGCUAGUUGGCGGGGUAACGGCCCACCAAGGCGACGACGGGUAGCUGGUCUGAGAGGACGACCAGCCACACUGGAACUGAGACACGGUCCAGACACCUACGGGUGGCAGCAGUCGAGAAUCUUUCACAAUGGGGGAAACCCUGAUGGAGCGACGCCGCGUGGAGGAUGACGGUCUUCGGAUUGUAAACUCCUGUCAUGAAAGAACAAGCGGAGCGGGUGAACAGCCCGCCGAGUUGAUAGUAUUUCAAGAGGAAGGGACGGCUAACUUCGUGCCAGCCGCCGCCGUAAUAC